GCUGACGAGUGGCGGACGGGUGAGUAAUGUCUGGGAAACUGCCUGAUGGAGGGGGAUAACUACUGGAAACGGUGGCUAAUACCGCAUAACGUCGCAAGACCAAAGAGGGGGACCUUCGGGCCUCUUGCCAUCAGAUGUGCCCAGAUGGGAUUAGCUUGUUGGUGAGGUAACGGCUCACCAAGGCGACGAUCCCUAGCUGGUCUGAGAGGAUGACCAGCCACACUGGAACUGAGACACGGUCCAGACUCCUACGGGAGGCAGCAGUGGGGAAUAUUGCACAAUGGGCGCAAGCCUGAUGCAGCCAUGCCGCGUGUAUGAAGAAGGCCUUCGGGUUGUAAAGUACUUUCAGCGGGGAGG
rnacentral:rRNA from 5 species